AUUGAACGCUGGCGGCAGGCCUAACACAUGCAAGUCGAGCGGCAGCGGGAAAGUAGCUUGCUACUUUUGCCGGCGAGCGGCGGACGGGUGAGUAAUGCCUGGGAAAUUGCCCAGUCGAGGGGGAUAACAGUUGGAAACGACUGCUAAUACCGCAUACGCCCUACGGGGGAAAGCAGGGGACCUUCGGGCCUUGCGCGAUUGGAUAUGCCCAGGUGGGAUUAGCUAGUUGGUGAGGUAAUGGCUCACCAAGGCGACGAUCCCUAGCUGGUCUGGGAGGAUGAUCAGCCACACUGGAAUUGAGACACGGUCCAGACUCCUACGGGAGGCAGCAGUGGGGAAUAUUGCACAAUGGGGGAAACCCUGAUGCAGCCAUGCCGCGUGUGUGAAGAAGGCCUUCGGGUUGUAAAGCACUUUCAGCGAGGAGGAAAGGUUGAUGCCUAAUACGUAUCAACUGUGACGUUACUCGCAGAAGAAGCACCGGCUAACUCCGUGCCAGCAGCCGCCGUAA
rnacentral:rRNA from 1 species